UACGGGGGGAGCAAGCGUUGUUCGGAUUUACUGGGCGUAAAGGGCGCGUAGGCGGUCAGCACAAGUCAGUUGUGAAAUCUCCGGGCUUAACUCGGAAAGGUCAACUGAUACUGCGCGACUAGAGUGCGGAAGGGGCAACUGGAAUUCUCGGUGUAGCGGUGAAAUGCGUAGAUAUCGAGAGGAACACCUGCGGCGAAGGCGGGUAGCUGGGCCGACACUGACGCUGAGGCGCGAAAGCCAGGGGAGCGAACGGG
rnacentral:rRNA from 1 species